rnacentral:rRNA from 1 species
UUUGCAUAUUCAAAAAGCGGAGGAAAGGAAACCAACCGGGAUUGCCUUAGUAACGGCGAGUGAAGCGGCAAAAGCUCAAAUUUGAAAUCUGGCACCUUCGGUGUCCGAGUUGUAAUUUGAAGAAGCUACUUUGGGGCUAGUCCUUGUCUAUGUUCCUUGGAACAGGACGUCAUGGAGGGUGAGAAUCCCGUAUGGCGAGGAGUCUAGUCCUAUGUAAAGUGCUUUCGACGAGUCGAGUUGUUUGGGAAUGCAGCUCUAAGUGGGUGGUAAAUUCCAUCUAAAGCUAAAUAUUGGCGAGAGACCGAUAGCGAACAAGUACAGUGAUGGAAAGAUGAAAAGAACUUUGAAAAGAGAGUGAAAAAGUACGUGAAAUUGUUGAAAGGGAAGGGCAUUUGAUCAGACAUGGUGUUUUGCGACCCUCGCUCCUUGUGGGUGGGGAUCUCGCAGCUCACUGGGCCAACAUCAGUUUUGGCGGUAGGAUAAAUCUUUGGGAACGUGGCUUGUCUUCGGAGAAGCGUUAUAGCCCAGGGGAAUACUGCCAGCCGGGACUGAGGACUGCGACUUUUGUCAAGGAUGUUGGCAUAAUGGUUAAAUGCCGCCCGUCUUGAAACAACGGGACCA